CCCUUUACGGGCGGAGGAUGGGGCGGCCUGCGCAGGCCCGCUCCUGGCCCCGCCCACGGCAAACGUCACCGCGGCCGUUACGCCGUUAAAGCGUCUCGGCGCGCGAUUUAAAACCAGCUCCAGACAGGGAGAGCGAGAUGGGGCCUCCCUGCCCAGAAAUCCGUGGGCACCCCCACAGUACCUCCUCACCUUCAGAACGGGUGUUCUCGAUGCCCCUGCCUCGGAAGGCCCCUCUCAAUACUCCUGGCACCCCCGUCCUUGAAGACUUUCCCCAGAAUGACGACGAAAAGGAGCGACUGCAACGGAGGCGCUCCCGAGUCCUGGACCUGCAGUUCAGCGCAGACUCGCCUCAUUUGCUAGCCUCCCCAUCGAGCAGGAAUAUUGACGUUUCAGCCACGAUUCCUAAAUUUACAAAUACACAGAUUACAGAACAUUACUCCACCUGUAUCAAACUAUCCACUGAAAAUAAAAUUACUACCAAGAAUGCUUUUGGUUUGCACUUGAUUGAUUUCAUGUCAGAGAUUCUUAAACAGAAAGACACCGAACCGACCAACUUUAAAGUGGCCGCUGGCACUCUGGAUGCCAGCACCAAGAUCUACGCUGUGCGGGUAGACGCUGUCCAUGCCGAUGUAUACAGAGUCCUCGGGGGGCUGGGCAAAGAUGCGCCAUCUCCAGAGGUAGAGAACCAUGAUGCAGAUGGAAGUGCUACUGAGACAGGAACAACCAAAAAGGCUCAAAAGCCAAAGAAGAAGCACUCCUGCAAAACCAUCGAACAGAAUAUAAGCAACCUCAAUGUCUCCGAAGCAGAUCGGAAGUGUGAGAUCGAUCCCAUGUUUCAGAAGACAGCAGCCUCAUUCGAUGAGUGCAGCACAGCGGGGGUAUUUCUCUCGACCCUCCACUGCCAUGACUAUAGAAGUGAGCUGCUGUUUCCUUCCGAUGUCCAGACUCUCUCCACUGAAGAACCCCUGGAGUUGCCAGAUUUAGGUUGGGUAGAAAUGACAGAUUUAAAGGCGCCCUUGCAACAGUGUGUGGAAGAUUGCCAGAUCUGCCCUUCCCUGGCCGGGUUCCAGUUCACUAAAUGGGACAGCGAGGCACAUAAUGAGUCCGUGUCUGCCCUGGUAGACAAGUUCAAGAAAAACGAACAGGUGUUUGACAUCAACGCCGAGGUAGAGGAGGAUGACUGCGGGGAUUUUCCUGAUGGGCCCAUGGAGGACGACUUUGAUGCGAACGACGAGCCUGAGCACAGCAUGGCUGGGGACAACGCUGAGUUCAGGAGCUGGAAGGAACCCUGCCACACUCAUAGCUGCCCGGAAGAAAUGAUUCCCCUUGGGGAUGGAGACAUUAGGACCAUGUGCCCCCUUCUGUCCAUGAAACCUGGAGAAUAUUCCUAUUUUAGUCCCCGUACCAUGUCGAUGUGGGCUGGCCCGGAUCACUGGCGCUUUAGACCCCGACUCAAACAUGAUGCUGCCUCCAAAUCAGAAAACAAGAAGAAGAAUACAAAGAAAGAUUUUGAAAUUGACUUUGAUGAUGAUAUUGACUUUGACAUAUAUUUUCGAAAAACAAAGGCUGCUACUAUUCUGACCAAAUCCACUUUGGAGAAUCAGAAUUGGAGAGCUACCACUCUUCCUACGGAUUUCCUCUAUGAGACUGAUAAUCUUGUCCAGCUGCAUCUCAAACCAGGAACCAGGUUACUUAAGAUGGCCCAAGGCCAGAGGGCAGGAACUGAACAUUAUGAAGAAAUUGGAGACUAUGAUUACAACAACCCUAACGACACCUCCAACUUUUGCCCUGGAUUACAGGCUGCUGACAGUGAUUAUGAAGAGUCGGAUGAUUUAUUUGUGGGACCAGUUGGGACCUUUGACCUUACAUCUUGCCAUCCACCUAAAACAACACAAGAGAAUGAUGAUAUCCCUGAAGUCCAAGGAUUGGACAUCACCACUUAUGGGGAGUCGAAUCUGGUAGCUGAACCUCAGAAGGUAGAGGUAAAUAAAAUUGAAAUUCAUUAUGCCAAGACUGCCAAAAAGAUGGACAUGAAGAAGUUGAAGCAAAGCAUGUGGAGUUUGCUGACAGAGUUCUCCAAGCAUGCAGACGCGGAGACAAACCACAGUGAAACUGGAAAAGAAGGGGACAUGGGAAAGGUGGCUGAUGAGAAGAUGCUCAGCGGGCUCACAAAGGACCUACAGAAGAGCUUGCCUCCCCUCAUGGCUCAGAACCUCUCUAUACCUCUGGCCUUUGCCUGUCUCCUACAUUUAGCCAAUGAAAAGCUCCCCUGAGAAGUGCGACGGGGCUUGGGGUGCAGUGGUGGACGCUGGGUCUCCUCUACCUCUGUGGGCCUGAGUGCCAGUAUGGUGUGACUGAUUAGCCAAACCUGAACCGCUUCUGGAACCUGAGUCGUAGAAGUCACACUUCAGGGGGAAUCUAAAGCUGGAAGGAACUGAGGACCUUUCCGACAUUCUUGUGAGGCAAGGGGAUUGAGUUUGCCCGAGAAGAGUUGGCAGAAAGGGGCUCAUCGCUUCUUCGGUGACCAGGACGUCCCCACUCUGGGUGCUGCAAGUGCGGCAGGCCUGUGGCAAGGCUGUAGCCCACUACCAAAGUGCCAGGUUUUUUAUCUGUUGCUCUUCCCUUCUCUUCCUCAUGGUCUGGGAACCAGCACCCGGAAGCUCUUUGAUUAAAGUUUCCUGCCUUGUGGUGACCACAGGGAGGAGAUGGUGAGGGCACUGUUCUUGAUUAUGAAAACCUAUAUCCAUGUUUUGAAUUCAUGUCUCGUUUUUGCCUCCUCAGCUGCUCUUUGUUUUUUUCCACACUUUUGUAGAAAAUUAUUUCCCAGUAGGCACUGGUUGUCUUUAAACAGCUGUCUAAGCCAUGUACAUAAAAUACAUCGUCUGUGCACUUACAAAUGUAUAUAUGUUAUGUCUGCUUAAAUAAAAUCAUUCUGAAUCAUA